rnacentral:lncRNA from 1 species
GUUAAAUCAUGUGCACGUAUGAAUAUGUAACAUGGAUCCCACUAUUAUAAUGCGCCAAUGAAAAUAUGGGGAAAAACUGGUCAAAUAGACUGACCUACUAUUCACACAUUCAGUAAGCAGCUCCAGUUACUAAAUAUAAAUUUAGGUAGUGUAAUACUCCCCUGAAUUUUCUCCUUGUGUUGAUCUUUAGGGCUCUUCCUCCUGUAUUCUCCCCGUUUAAGCCUUAGUGGUGAGCAUUUCCUCACUUUAUGUUCUCUUUAAGUGAUCAUUUUGUCAGUUAUGUGCUGAGUAUGUGGCAUAUUUACUGAGAUACCUCAUAGAAAUCUUAAAUUAAACAUGUCCUCUCCCCACUAUACUGGCUCCUUCUGUCUUCCUUACCUGGAUACAUUGGCACCUUUAUCAGUUGCACAAGCCAGUCUAGUUGACUCUCAAGCUCUGUUAUGUUAAACUUUCAACUAUAUUAUAUAUUUUAUCUUUUCCCCCCCAACUCCAUUGUAACCACCUUAAUCCUAGCCUCUGUUUUGUUGGAACUCCUGUAGUUGCCUUUUUUUUAUGAUUUCUCUGUUUCUUUGUCACACUCCAAGAACUUUUCUCCACCCAAAAACUGGAGUAAGCUUUUGAAAACAAUUAGAUCAUGUCACUUCCCUGUUUAAAACCAGUUAAU